AUAAAAUAUCAAUAAAAAGGUGCUGAAAGCAUUUGCAUUUCAGAGAAUAGGGAAAUGAGUGUAAUUCUCAUACGGUCCCGCCGCUGUAUUGGCUGAGAUUGUGUUUUAUAAUUGUCACUGUAUUAUUUUGCGGGAAGGCAAAACACAAAUCUAUGACGCCUAAGUCAGAAGACCUGCCUUUUUAUGUAUAAAAAU
rnacentral:ncRNA from 2 species